UACGUAGGGUGCAAGCGUUGUCCGGAAUUAUUGGGCGUAAAGGGCUCGUAGGCGGUCCAUCGCGUCGGGAGUGAAAAGCUGGGGCUUAACCCCAGUCCUGCUUCCGAUACGGGUGGACUAGAGGUAGGUAGGGGAGAGUCGGAAUUCCUGGUGUAGCGGUGAAUGACGCAGAGUAUCAGGAGGAACACCGGUGGCGAAGGCGGAUCUCUGGGCCUUACCUGACGCUGAGGAGCGAAAGCAUGGGGAGCAAACAGG
rnacentral:rRNA from 1 species